ACGGGUGAGUAACACGUAUCCAACCUGCCGUCUACUCUUGGACAGCCUUCUGAAAGGAAGAUUAAUACAAGAUGGCAUCAUGAGUCCGCAUGUUCACAUGAUUAAAGGUAUUCCGGUAGACGAUGGGGAUGCGUUCCAUUAGAUAGUAGGCGGGGUAACGGCCCACCUAGUCUUCGAUGGAUAGGGGUUCUGAGAGGAAGGUCCCCCACAUUGGAACUGAGAUACGGUCCAA
rnacentral:rRNA from 1 species